CAGUCAGCGUCUUUUUCCCCAGGGUAGAAGUGUCCAAUGCUAGAGGGCAUAGCUUUAAGGUGAGUGGGAAAGUUUAAUGGAGAUGUACGGGUCAAGUUUCUUUAUUUUUAAGUAGAGUAGUGUGGACCUUGAACACGAUGCAAGGGAUGAUUGUGGAGGCAGAUACGAUAGUGACAUUUAAGAGGCUUUGAAGUAGACACUUGGAAGUGUAGGGAAUAGAGGGAUAUGGAUUCUGUACAAGCAGAUGGAAUCAGUUUAACUUGGUGUCAUGUUCGGCAUAAACAUUGUGGGCUGAAGGGCUCAAUCCUGUGCUGUACUGUUCUAUGAUAUAAAUGGAUUAUCUGACUGAGUCACCAUCAUUUUGAAGCCCUACGCACCUCUGGCAACCAUGCUUGUGCACUUUUGCAAUUAGACAAAUCUUGUAGUGAUCAGAAAUUGAAGCAAAGAUUUGUUAUUUUUAAAAUUAUCCCAUUUUCUUUUAUAACUCCUUUCGCUUUAUAGGAUCCUCCUGUCUCCAUUUGUACGAUGGGCAAACAGGAAUGGUGCUCUGGUUUGCCACCUCUGCCUGAUGGUGUCCCUGAGAUUAGAUGUUUAUGUUAUGUAAAUAUUGGCCCAAAGCCAAGUGCUCAUAAAUUUAAGAGAGCAGGUAGCAGUCUUGCUCAAGAACACAACAGUUUAGUGCCCUAAAUUUACAGGUAGGCCAUUUUCUUCCACAGUGUCUGACCAAUUGAGCAUCAAGCUAGCAAUUUCAAGUUCAAACUCAAGUCCCACGUCUUUCAAUAAAUAUGACGAUCUGUUAACCUUUUUUUUCAAACUACAAUUUAGGCAUGUUAUAGCUUUUUUAUUUAAAAAAAAUACUGUCUUGCUUUUUUUGGUCCUUUU